GGAGGCAUAGCUCAGUCCGAAAACGUCAGACUAAGUUGAGGUCAUUUCAUUCUGAAGACCCAUGUUCGAUCCACGGUGCCCCCA